AGGGAUCAUUGCUGGAACGCGCCCCGGCGCACCCAGAAACCCUUUGUGAACUUAUACCUUACUGUUGCCUCGGCGCAGGCCGGCCUCUUAGCUGAGGCCCCCCGGAGACGGGGAGCAGCCCGCCGGCGGCCAACCUAACUCUUGUUUUUACACUGUAUCUCUGAGUAAAAAAACAUAAAUGAAUCAAAACUUUCAACAACGGAUCUCUUGGUUCUGGCAUCGAUGAAGAACGCAGCGAAAUGCGAUAAGUAAUGUGAAUUGCAGAAUUCAGUGAAUCAUCGAAUCUUUGAACGCACAUUGCGCCCUCUGGUAUUCCGGAGGGCAUGCCUGUUCGAGCGUCAUUUCAACCCUCAAGCCUGGCUUGGUGUUGGGGCACUGCCUGUAAAAGGGCAGGCCCUGAAAUCUAGUGGCGAGCUCGCUAGGACCCCGAGCGUAGUAGUUAUAUCUCGUUCUGGAAGGCCCUGGCGGUGCCCUGCCGUUAAACCCCCAACUUCUGAAAAUUUGACCUCGGAUCAGGUAGGAAUACCCGCUGAACUUAA
rnacentral:rRNA from 2 species